GGGAGGGAAAAAGGUUCAUGCCUGUUACUUCCAUCACAAGUUGAAACGGGCUGUGUUGCCUUCAGAGCAGCCCAGCCAUCUGCCCAGCUCUGGUGAGGAUUAUCUAUGCUUGCAAGGGACAAGUUUUCUCAGAAGCCAAGUAAUCCUUUCAGUGCUGUUCCUAAUGACUUCAUUUUAAAGAGAAAGGAAAUAAAGGGGGUAUAUUCUGUGUGUCCUUUUACAAUGUACUCAUUAUGCUGCUGAAAAGAAAAUUGCUCACUUGCUUGAAGAAUGUGGAAUUCAAGAGCACAACUGUGAGGCGACCAUGGAAAUAAACUCUUUUCCAGUGCUGUAAUGGAGGACUGUGAAACCCUGCAUCAGAACCUGUGACUGGAACUAGACAUCUCUCCUGUUGCAUGAUACAGCAUAUCCUCUGUGUCUUGCAUGCAGUUAAAAGAAAGAUAUGGAGCUCACUGGUCAAACAAAUGACAUAUAGAGGACCUGCCGUUAUGCUUCCAAACACGUCCAAUUCAGAUAUAUCUUGGUCUUUGCUGAUGGAGAAUGCAGUUCAAGAUUUGUCUUUCUUCGUGGCAACUCACUUAAGUUCCAUCUUUGCCUGCAUUGACCACUGCAGCCUGAGCAGGCACAUGGACUCCCUGCCGUGCAUAUGGACAAUUGAUCCCUACAGCAGAGAAAAUGGGCCAGAUCUCAAUCUCGGUGAAAAAUGCCAUGGCAGACCUUGUGAUUGCUAGAAAUGUUUCCUUCUCAGAAAGGACAACCUUGUCCAUGCUGCUCCUGGGAAAAGAGGGCUUCUUCCUCCUGUGCUAACCCCUUAGCAUUAUUAGAAUGAGUAUUAAUUGUCUCAUGUCAAAACUGGGAAAUAUUCUAACAAUUAUAUUUAACAGAUCAUCCUGGGAAAUUGUUCAAACUGAUGUCCUGACUGUAACUUUUUUACUAGCAUAAUCAUAGUACCAAAUAUCUCAAAUCCACCCUGUUAAACUUGGAACAUUAAGGAGUAAGCUUGAAUUAGUUCACAGGGGAAGUACAAAUUCUAGUGUGAUACUAGUUCUCAUUGGUCUUUCUGACAAAUUGAAGACUCACUGAGUACCACUAUUGCCAUUUAGUGGUAAUUUGGGAACAGAGAAAAAAUGCUGAAGACAUGUAAACACACCAUUAAGAAAUAAACUCAAACCUUUGACAAUGUUGAAUAAACACAUCAAUGUAACUUUAAAAACAAAUGAUGGACAUCUCUCUAGACUGCUGAAAUAACAUUAUCCGUUUUCUUCCAUAACUUUAUUCCCUCGUCUAACCAGGAAUAAUUCAGUGCAGCUGAAAUUCGGGAGCUGAAUUGAAAGGCAACUGGGACUAAUCCCAGUAAAGUUACUUGCCUCAUGCCAGCCAAUGACUUCAGUACGAGUCAUUUUAUUUGUAUCAUGAGUGUCCAAAACACCUUCUAUUCAAUUCACCUCUUGGAAAAAUGAAGGCUUUUUAUAGAGAUAAGAUUUUCUUCUUUCUUUUUUUGUUACAGUGUGUAUAUGUUUUUCUAUGAGAUGUAGAGAGGACUAUAAAGAAUGGAAUCAUCAAACUCCAGGCAAAAUUAACAGUGGUGUUCAGAACGAAGCAAGAUGACUGGAAAAAGUGCAACCCUUUUUAUUUUCAGUUCAAGCGGGAAAAUGAAUAGAUGUCAUUAAAAUCUAAAAGAAAAACAAGUUAAGUUUUGCAUAUUGCUACAUGGACACCUUCAGAAAUCAAAGCUUGGCAUUCUCACAUUUGUUGAAAGAAAGGGAAAAUACAAAUCUGUACUUGCAAUUGUAUUUUUUUUCUUAAUUACUUCAGACCUUUCAUCUGUUGUAUCAUGAUCUUCUUUACAGAAAAAAACAACAAUCCAAUAAUAUAAUUUGUGUAAUUUCAUGGUUUUAACGUCCUUUCUUGUGAAAUGGUCAAAAAGAGCAUUUUUAUUCUAUUUUGAUUACAGAGCACUUUGGCAAAAACUUAGUUUUGGAAUAAUUUCCUUGACAUUUUACUUACCAGUGUAAAGAAGAAUGAAGAGAGAGAAAGAGGAAUUUCUGCCUGGAAACCUUCUAUUUGGUGCUACCAUUGUUCUGUGACAAUCAGCAGCUAUUCAAAACCUUCCUCAGUUACAAUAGUGAAUUGUAUUUGCAUGUUAAUAUAUAUUAUUUAUUUUAUUUUUUUGUUUUGUUUAUUACAGUGUGGUUUGUUUACAUGUAACUUUAAGGUAACAGUUCACAGUCAUUUUAAGAAAUGUUGUUUGAUGCAUAAUCUAAAACUGUUCCUAACCUGCACGAGAUGUAGGCUUUAGGAACUGAACAGACAUUCAGGAGCUCACCUAUUCUGAAGAAGAUCUUUGCAGUAUCAGGAUCAAAGCAAAAGCAUUUCUGGAAUUCCUUCUCAUCAUAAGAUAGUGUAUGAGGGUAUUAUCACCAGGGAAAAAAGCAUGUACGGUACACUGACAUGCAACAUUUCUGAAGAGUAUGUCUGUAUCACAUUCAGUUCCACAUCAGCACAGUAUAAUUUGUGUGGUAUAUAGGCUUGAGUACGCCUCUGCACAGUUAAAAGAGAUUUAUACAUCAGUGUUUUCCUUAUGUGUCAGGAGAGCUGUUGAAAAAAAGUAUUUUGAAAAAAUAUCAGAAAGUGGGAAAAAAGUGGAAAUGUGGUUGCAUGUGGGGAUAGAAACCCCUAGUAAACACUGUACUCUGAAACUGAAAGGCUGUGGAGCUGUCAUUAAGCCCAUUAAAGUUUAUAGGAGCAGUUCUGACCAUGAGAAUUAGUGCAAUUCGCAUACAGACUUGGGCUCUGUGAACAAGUUUGCAUAAAACAAGAGCAAACCUGAAACCUUGCAAAAAAAAUUUGAACUGAACCAAGCCUUUUCCUGAGGGUUGGAAAAAAUUUGAUUAAUUGUUUAAUUUUCACAUUCCUCAUCUUUUCCAUUUUCAGCUGGGAGAAAGAGUGGACAAGAGAGUAUUUUGUGGUAUUUUUACUGGCCUGACUGAAGCUGAAGAGGUAUUAGAGGUAAUCUCAUGAGAAAGUUUGACCUUGCAAGAUUUCCGAUUGAUUUCCAGAGCCAAAAUACUCAGAUACAUUUGGAUAGACUUCGAACAAAUGUCCAAACUUCAGCAUGCCUGUGUGAAAUGAAGAUCCAAAUGUUUUGAUAUACCCUCCUUCCUCUCCUUGACAAGCAAACAUGUACAUUGUAUGCACAUUUGCAUGUGUUAUUUGUGACACUUGGAAAAAUACAUGUACAUUCAAGUUCUUGUCAGAGGGAUUUUAGGGUUGAAGUGCUAAUUCAUAACUAAAAAUAAAAAUUGAUAUAAAACAUAA